rnacentral:rRNA from 1 species
CACGUAGGAGGCGAGCGUUGUCCGGAAUCAUUGGGCGUAAAGAGCGCGCAGGCGGCUUGGCAAGUCGGGUGUGAAAUCCCGGGGCUCAACCCCGGGACUGCAUUCGAUACUGUCAGGCUAGAGGUAGGUAGGGGAGAUCGGAAUUCCUGGUGUAGCGGUGAAAUGCGCAGAUAUCAGGAGGAACACCGGUGGCGAAGGCGGCCUGCUGGGCUGUUGCUGACGCUGAGGCGCGACAGCGUGGGGAGCAAACAGG